GUACACGCUGUGACUAGCAUAUCAAUAAGCGGAGGAAAAGAAACUAACAAGGAUUCCCUUAGUAACGGCGAGUGAAGCGGGAAGAGCUCAAAUUUGAAAUCUUAAAGGGUUUCCCUUUACGAAUUGUAGUUUAAAGAAGUGUUUUCUGUUAGAGUUUCGGUAAAAGUUCUUUGGAAUAGGACAUCAUAGAGGGUGAGAAUCCCGUAUUUGACCGUUAUUUCUAGCUUUGUGAUACACUUUCAAAGAGUCGGAUUGUUUGGGAAUGCAGUCCAAAAUGGGUGGUAAAUUUCAUCUAAAGCUAAAUAUUGGCGAGAGACCGAUAGCGAACAAGUACCGUGAGGGAAAGAUGAAAAGAACUUUGAAAAGAGAGUUAAACAGUACGUGAAAUUGUCAAAAGGGAAGCGUUUGACACCAGUGUUGUUUUUCUGAAAAUCAAUUAAAGAACUGUUUAUGCUAAGUUGUUUAGACUUUAUCAGCUAUCUGUUUAGUUUUAGGCUUUUCUUUAAUGCACUUUUCAGUUAACAAGUCAACAUCAAUUUCUUUUGCUGUAAAAAAGCUUGAGGAAGGUGGCUUGAGAUUCGUCUUAAGUGUUUAUAGCCUCUUGCCUAUGCAGUCGGAGAGAUUGAGGUCUGCAGCGUAGAUCCUUCGGGGCUAAAUGCAUUUGUGCUAAGUUAUAGCAUUUUAUAGACAACUUGUUGACUAUGAUUUGUCUUGUAGCUUACUCGCUUAUGUUAUUUUACCUACGCUUAGGAUGUUGAGCGCAUGUCUCUCUCU
rnacentral:rRNA from 1 species